ACGUUGCUUUUUGUUUUGUGCGAGCAGGUACAGGCAAGGACUCUAAUCGACCCACCCGCUAGGAUUCAGGUUCAGCUGUGAGUUGGAUUUCUAUGAAGU